CACCUUAUCUCAGGUCCACUUCCCUCGAUGUGAAGUUCUCCCGGUUAUGGCAACUGCACAUCUGGCUGAGGGACUACAGCUGUAACGGAGGGAUCCCCUGUGUGGACAGUUUCACCAUCUCUUGCAAGAGAUCAGACCUCUUCAAGCAAGAUCACCUGCAUCCUAAUCAGCUCAGAGGCUACCGGCAGCUACCGGAAAACAAUCUAUAAAGUCAAGCAACCACUAAAGAGGGCAGAGUUUUUCAUCUCCAUCUGCUAAGGAUUGUGUCGAAGCACAGAUCUGAGGAAGGCUACAAAAACUUUUCUGCUGCAUUGAAGCUUCCCCAAGAGCACAGUGGCCAGAAUUUGGCGCCCAGGCCAAACUGAGUAAUGAAGGGAGAAAGGUCUCGGUAAGAGAGGUGAUCAAGAACCCGAUGCUCACUGGCUGAGCCCCAGAGAUCCUGUGUGGAGACGGGAGAAACUUCCAGAAGGACAACCAUCACUACAUCUGCAAAUGUAGUUGUGUAAGAAGUAUAAUAUUUCCCUCUUAAAUGUAGUGGAGUAGAAUUAUAGAGUAGAAUAAAAUGGAAAUGUACGUGAGUAAAUUGCCCAUAGGUGAAUGUAAGUGUGAGUAUGUCCUGUGCCAGCCCCACGAUAGACCGGCGACGUCUCCGUGGGUCGACGGCCUGCUUCGCCUCUUGCUCCUCAAUGUCAGCUGGCAUAGGCCGCAACCUCCAGGCAACCUUGCACCCUGCACACGUUCUACUCCAUCUUCUGUGACGGCUGGCAUCACGUCUUCUUCUGAUCUUUCAUUUAAGACACCGAUAUUAAUAUUGAUCCUGAUCCUACACUGAUGUCUGUGCUAUACUCUCG